rnacentral:lncRNA from 1 species
CGAGACGGGUUUCACGGGUGCGAAGAGCUGCCCCAACUUCGUUGCAGCCCAAACCGAGAACCCGAGUGCAACAGAUUAAGUACACUUCCCUCGGAGUGGGGCCGAGCCUCGUUAGUUGAUCGACAGGAGUUUUUAUCUUAAGAUAGAGUCCGAAACGAACUGGCCACAAAUGAACAAAAUUAAUAUAGUUGAGCGCAGGCAUUCACCAGUAAUAUUGUUAUUAGAAAAUCUCCCUUAUAUAGAAAAGAAAGAAGAUAUGACACAUCCAAUAUCCUCUAAAUUCUCCUCUACAAGAGGCCUUUUCAUUCAAGUCCCGCCUACGCUGUGUCAUUCCCCCAUUUUUAAUGAUAUGGCCAACGAUGCAGUACAUCCGACUCCGAGAUGGAGUAAAGGCCACUGAUAUGGGGCGUCAAUGUUGAAGAGUCUCAGCUCCGUCUUUUAAGCUCUCUCCUUCCAGUCCGUUCUGCAAGCGAAAAAUACAAGCUCAGCACAACUUGCUAUUGAAUAUAGUAACCAAAUGCACAAACAAAUAGAAGUGAAACGAGAAAGCCAAGGCCUAGCGCGAGUGGUAAGAGCGAACGGCUUCCUAAGCCAAUGGACUGGAUUCCAGCCUCCUUGAGAGGUGGUGGUUGAAAUCCUUUGAUCCCCCCUAAAAAACGGGGAGGUAAAGAAGGCUGGAAUGCAGCAACUCAAAAAAAGUCGAAACAUUUUUACAUCAGAUUCUUAAACAAUAAGACCAAAAAGCAGUAAUUUCUGUGUUUCAAAGUAAAUGCCAUCUUUUCCAGUUCAGGGCACGUUUCAAAUUGAAUACCUGGCUGUCAUCCUAAAAAUUUAUAUAAGAUUAAAAAAAAAAAAAUUCUCCAUAUAAGGUAGGAUUCAUAUUUGUGCAGGUCAGUAAAUCACAGUAACAAACAUUUCGAAAGUAUUCAUCAUUUUUUUACAUACAACCACCUAAGCGGUGAGAUGUUAGCUGGAUCUCUGCUUAUUAUUUAUUAAAAGAAACAAGACAAGAAGAAUUGACGUUAUUCACGCAUUUUAUUCAACAAGUAAAAGGAGCUAAAGUAGAAUUUCUCAAGACAUGGAUAUGAUAAGAAGUUAGGAUUAUGCCAACCUCUAAGGGAAAACUAUAUAUUAC